rnacentral:rRNA from 1 species
GAAACUCGCCUACAUGAAGCUGGAGUUACUAGUAAUCGCAGAUCAGAAUGCUGCGGUGAAUGCGUUCCCGGGUCUUGUACACACCGCCCGUCACACCACGGAAGUUGGGGCGCCCGAAGCCACUUAGCUAACCCUUUUGGGAAGCGAGUGUCGAAGAUGAAAUCAAUAACUGGGGUGAAGUCGUAACAAGGUAGC